rnacentral:misc_RNA from 1 species
AACGGCACCACCAAAAUCCCCACCACUGAUAAUAAUGACACUUUAACGGGCAAACGCAAACGUUGUGAUUGUGUUAACGUUAAAUUAAACGACGUUAAACAAAGAAAUAAUCAUCCAAUUACAACAAUUAGGGAAAAUGAUGCAAACUUACCUAACAAAAUGGCAACAAUUUUAGCUCCGGUGAUGUCAAUAGUACCACCUCAGGCAAUAAUGCCAGUGGGAUCAAUGUUUCCUGUUCCGGCGAGAAUAAACUCGAGUAUGGCAGCACCGUCAACAGUUUGGUUAAUUCAGCAAACACCAUUGAUACCAUCAACAAGGCAAAGUGCAGCUCAGGUGAAUUGUGUUAGUGUUAGGCCAGCAGCUACUUUCUUCGGUGUUCCAAAUGCGUCACUCAUUCCUGCUUCUGCUACCGACGUCUGCUCCUCCCACUCUUCCGGUCAUUGUUGAUUGUGCUGAAUCAAGAGUCUAGAAUGAUCACGCCAAAUUCAUUGUUCAUUAUUGACCACACAGGAAUCUAAAGCUAAUGAUCACUUUAAUAAUCAACUGUAACUCUUCUUCCAUGAUAACUGUUGCUUUGAAAAUUCCUCAGAUCUUUUAUUUCCUCCGAUUAAUAGUUCAAUCCAUGACCAAAAUUCACAAAUUGUAGUUAUAGCUAGUACAGAUUCUCAAAAUCAUCUGAAGAUUAAAA